GUUUUCGUAGAAAGGAGAGAAGGUUGGUAUCUCCCCUGACAGGGAUUAAUAGAUUUUCCUAUUAAAGGAACAAAGUUUUUAAAUUUCUUAUAAAAGAAAUCAAAAUUUUAA